AGUGAACGCUGGCGGUAGGCCUAACACAUGCAAGUCGAACGGCAGCACAGUAAGAGCUUGCUCUUACGGGUGGCGAGUGGCGGACGGGUGAGGAAUACAUCGGAAUCUACUUUUUCGUGGGGGAUAACGUAGGGAAACUUACGCUAAUACCGCAUACGACCUACGGGUGAAAGCAGGGGAUCUUCGGACCUUGCGCGAUUGAAUGAGCCGAUGUCGGAUUAGCUAGUUGGCGGGGUAACGGCCCACCACGGCGACGAUCCGUAGCUGGUCUGAGAGGAUGAUCAGCCACACUGGAACUGAGACACGGUCCAGACUCCUACGGGAGGCAGCAGUGGGGAAUAUUGGACAAUGGGCGCAAGCCUGAUCCAGCCAUACCGCGUGGGUGAAGAAGGCCUUCGGGUUGUAAAGCCCUUUUGUUGGGAAAGAAAAGCAGCAGGUUAAUACCCCGCUGUUCUGACGGUACCCAAAGAAUAAGCACCGGCUAACUUCGUG
rnacentral:rRNA from 1 species